rnacentral:rRNA from 1 species
AUUGAACGCUGGCGGCAGGCCUAACACAUGCAAGUCGAGCGGAUGAAGGGAGCUUGCUCCUGGAUUCAGCGGCGGACGGGUGAGUAAUGCCUAGGAAUCUGCCUGGUAGUGGGGGACAACGUUCCGAAAGGGGCGCUAAUACCGCAUACGUCCUACGGGAGAAAGUGGGGGAUCUUCGGACCUCACGCUAUCAGAUGAGCCUAGGUCGGAUUAGCUAGUUGGUGGGGUAAAGGCCUACCAAGGCGACGAUCCGUAACUGGUCUGAGAGGAUGAUCAGUCACACUGGAACUGAGACACGGUCCAGACUCCUACGGGAGGCAGCAGUGGGGAAUAUUGGACAAUGGGCGAAAGCCUGAUCCAGCCAUGCCGCGUGUGUGAAGAAGGUCUUCGGAUUGUAAAGCACUUUAAGUUGGGAGGAAGGGCAGUAAGUUAAUACCUUGCUGUUUUGACGUUACCAACAGAAUAAGCACCGGCUAACUCCGUG